AUGUCGCCCUUCGGGAAGUUCUUGUUCUGCUUGACCCUGCUCGCCGCAUGGCGCCUCAGCUCGACCCUGUUUACCGAGGCGCCUCCAGCUCCUGGUGUCGACCCCGCGUUCAGGAACGCAUCGUGCCUGGCUCUCGCCAGGGAGGCCGGCGUCCGGGCGGAAGGCGGCACGGGGAGCAACUUCGUCAUCUCGCCGCUGUCCAUCCACGCGGCGUUCGCGAAGGUGGCCGCCGGCGCGCGGGGCGACACGCUUAACGAGCUCCUGCGGUUCCUUGGGUCGGCGUCGCUCAACGAGCUGCACCGCGCGGCGGCGACCGAGCUCGUCGGCAGGCUCAACGGCAUAGCGCAGACGUCCUUCGCCAGCGGCGUGUGGGUGGACCGGAUGCUGGCGCUCAAGCCAGAGUUCACGGCCAUCGCCGCGUCGCGGUACAACGCCACGGUAGAAUCCGUGGACUUCGUGUCGGGGGCUGAGCAGGCGAGGCAGCGCGUGAACGCCUUCGUGGCGGACGCGACCAACAAGCAAAUCCUCCAAGUCCUGCCUCCGGGCUCCGUCAACUCCGGCACGGCGGUCGUCCUCGCCAACGCGCUCUACUUCAAAGGGGCGUGGACACAGCCGUUCGACGUCUCUACGGCGCCGUUCCACAUCCCAGGCGGCACCACCGUGCGCGUGCCAUCCAUGACGACAAGCGAGUCACAGCAGAUCGCGGUCUACCCGGGCUUCAGGGCCCUCAAGCUGCCGUACAAGAACGAUGCUGUGUCGACGCCAGAGUUCAUCAAGACGCACACGCCGACAAAGAAGGUUCCAGUCGGGCAAUUCAUGGUCCCCAAGUUCAAGUUCACAUCCGAGUUCGAAGUGUCAUCCGCCAUGCGGAAGCUUGGUGUCACUAGGGCUUUCCAAGGCGGCGACUUCUCGAGCAUGAUGACCGGCGGGGAAGGGAUUUCCAUCACCGGGGUAUACCAUAAGGCCACUAUCGAGGUGGACGAGGUAGGCACCGUGGCCGCCGCUGCCACGGCCGUCCUCUACUUUGGUAGUGCGGCUCCUGGGGCACCACGGGAUCUGGUCGAUUUUGUGGCGGAUCGACCUUUUUUAUUUGCCAUGGUAGAGGAGGGGAUAGAUGCAGUUUUGUUUCUUGGUCACCUGGCUAAUCCUCUCGCUCACUAG
rnacentral:rRNA from 1 species